rnacentral:rRNA from 1 species
GACGUAGGGGGCAAGCGUUGUCCGGAAUCAUUGGGCGUAAAGCGCUCGUAGGCGGAUCGGUAAGUCUGCGACGAAAGACCCGGGCUCAACUCGGGGAACGGUGUGGAUACUACCGAUCUUGAGGCAAUCAGAGGAUGAUGGAAUUCCCGGCGUAGCGGUGAAAUGCGUAGAUAUCGGGAGGAACACCAGUGGCGAAGGCGAUCAUCUGGGGUUGUUCUGACACUGAGGAGCGAAAGCUAGGGGAGCAAACGGG